GACGAACGCUGGCGGCGUGCUUAACACAUGCAAGUCGAACGGAAAGGCCCUGCUUGCGUGGUGUUCGAGUGGCGCAAACGGGUGUAAAACACGGGAGUACCGCGCCCAUCUUCUUGGGAUAACUGCAGAACUCUGGGUAAUAUAGCGUAGAGCAGCCGCUGAUUCUCGGUGGGGGUCAGAAAGUUUUGGCAGUUGGGGAUGGGCUCGCGGCCUAUCAGUUUGUUGGUGGGGUAGUGGCUUAGCAAGGCUUCGACGGGUAGCCGGCCUGAGAGGGGGGCCGGCCACAUUGGGACUGAGAUACGGCCCAGACUCCUACGGGAGGCAGCAGUGGGGAAUAUUGCACAAUGGGCGCAAGCCUGAUGCAGCAACGCCGCGUGGGGGAUGACGGCCUUCGGGUUGUAAACCGCUUUCGCCUGGGACGAAGCUUUGGUGACGGUACCUGUUGAAGAAGCACCGGCUAACUACGUG
rnacentral:rRNA from 1 species